rnacentral:rRNA from 1 species
UCAAGUGACUAAGAGCAUAUGGUGGAUGCCUUGGCGAUUACAGGCGAUGAAAGACGUGAUAGCCUGCGAAAAGCUUCGGGGAGCUGGCAAAUAAGCUUUGAUCCGGAGAUGUCUGAAUGGGGAAACCCACCCGCAAGGGUAUCAACAGCUCAAUACAUAGGCUGUUGAAGCGAACCUGGAGAACUGAAACAUCUAAGUACCCAGAGGAAAAGAAAUCAACCGAGAUUCCGAUAGUAGUGGCGAGCGAAUUCGGAAGAGCCUUCUAGUGAUAGUCGACGAGUUAACAAAACGGCAUGGAAAGGCCGGCCAUAGUAGGUGAUAGCCCUGUAUGUGAAAACUUGUCGGUGGUACUGAGCUAGAGAAAAGUAGGGCGGGACACGUGUAAUCCUGUCUGAAUAUGGGGGGACCAUCCUCCAAGGCUAAAUACUCGUAAUCGACCGAUAGUGAACCAGUACCGUGAGGGAAAGGCGAAAAGAACCCCGGGAGGGGAGUGAAAUAGAUCCUGAAACCGUAUGCUUACAAAAAGUCGGAGCCUCGUAAGGGGUGACGGCGUACCUUUUGUAUAAUGGGUCAGCGACUUACAUUCAGUGGCAAGCUUAACCGAGUAGGGAAGGCGUAGAGAAAUCGAGUCCGAAUAGGGCGUUUUUAGUCGCUGGGUGUAGACCCGAAACCAAGUGAUCUAACCAUGGCCAGGAUGAAGGUGCCGUAACAGGUACUGGAGGUCCGAACCGACUGAUGUUGCAAAAUCAGCGGAUGAGCUGUGGUUAGGGGUGAAAGGCUAAACAAACUUGGAAAUAGCUGGUUCUCUCCGAAAACUAUUUAGGUAGUGCCUCAAGUAUUACCUGCGGGGGUAGAGCACUGUUUUGGCUAGGGGGUCAUGGCGACUUACCAAACCAAGGCAAACUCCGAAUACCGCAGAGUACAGCUUGGGAGACAGAGCACCGGGUGCUAACGUCCGGACUCAAGAGGGAAACAACCCAGACCGCCAGCUAAGGUCCCUAAAAUUGGCUAAGUGGGAAACGAAGUGGGAAGGCUAAAACAGUCAGGAUGUUGGCUUAGAAGCAGCCAUCAUUUAAAGAAAGCGUAAUAGCUCACUGAUCGAGUCGUCCUGCGCGGAAGAUGUAACGGGGCUAAGCCAGUUACCGAAGCUGCGGAUGUGCAAUUUAUUGCACGUGGUAGGAGAGCGUUCUGUAAGCCUGUGAAGGUGUCUGGUAACGGAUGCUGGAGGUAUCAGAAGUGCGAAUGCUGACAUGAGUAGCGUUAAAAGGGGUGAAAAGCCCCUUCGCCGUAAGCGCAAGGUUUCCUACGCAACGUUCAUCGGCGUAGGGUGAGUCGGCCCCUAAGGCGAGGCAGAGAUGCGUAGCUGAUGGGAAACAGGUCAAUAUUCCUGUACCGAUCAAUAGUGCGAUGUGGGGACGGAGAAGGUUAGCUCAGCCACCUGUUGGAAUAGGUGGUUCAAGCGUGUAGUCGUGCCUGGUAGGCAAAUCCGCCGGGCUUAGAUGAGGCGUGAUAACGAGUGUGCUUGCACACGAAGUGAGUGAUACCCUGCUUCCAGGAAAAGCCACUAAGCUUCAGCUAUUGAUUGACCGUACCGCAAACCGACACUGGUGCGCGAGAUGAGUAUUCUAAGGCGCUUGAGAGAACUCUGGAGAAGGAACUCGGCAAAUUGAUACCGUAACUUCGGGAGAAGGUAUGCCCUCGGUAUGUGAAGUUGAACAAACGGAGCAGAAAAGGGUUGCAAAAAAUCGGUGGCUGCAACUGUUUAAUAAAAACACAGCACUCUGCAAACACGAAAGUGGACGUAUAGGGUGUGACGCCUGCCCGGUGCUGGAAGAUUAAAUGAUGGGGUGCAAGCUCUUGAUUGAAGUCCCAGUAAACGGCGGCCGUAACUAUAACGGUCCUAAGGUAGCGAAAUUCCUUGUCGGGUAAGUUCCGACCUGCACGA